AGGUUAGAGGCAUUGAUUCUCCAUGUAAGAAUUAGGAAACCAGAUUCUUCUAUGUUGUGCAGGACCACUUUCCCCAAGGAAGUCAGUUUUUACAGGAAAUUGACGACAUAUUUUUCUUAUAAGAAUGUUUCUUCUUACUUCCAAACCACUGUACAUGGGCAAAAAUGACAAAAGAGGAAGAAAGGAGAGAUUCUUUGAACUAGAGCAGGAAUAAGGUUCCCCAUGUUCAACUUUUCAGUGUCUGCUGGAAUGUGACGCUUCUUUCCCAGAGCUGGAAAGAGAAGAGGUGUUUCCACCAACACGUUUCCAUUUGUCUUGAAGAGCACUUUGGCCAAGACCCAAGGAUGGAAUUAUGUACAGAGCAAUGGGCCUUCAAGGACAGAGGCCGGGACAGGGUAGACUCUGUCUUCCUGAGUGACUUCAUAGCUUCAAGACAUCAGCUGGGGACAGGGAACCUUCCCUGGGGACUCAACUAUCAGAUCUAGUGACUUAAUCGUAAAACUCCAGUAAUAUUAAACCAUAUAAAAUGUG